rnacentral:rRNA from 1 species
AUACGGAGGGUCCGAGCGUUAUCCGGAAUCAUUGGGUUUAAAGGGUCCGCAGGCGGUCAAUUAAGUCAGAGGUGAAAUCCCAUUGCUCAACAAUGGAACUGCCUUUGAUACUGGUUGACUUGAGUUAUACGGAAGUAGAUAGAAUGUGUAGUGUAGCGGUGAAAUGCAUAGAGAUUACACAGAAUACCGAUUGCGAAGGCAGUCUACUACGUAUAUACUGACGCUGAGGGACGAAAGCGUGGGGAGCGAACAGGAUUAGAAACCCCAGUAGUCC